rnacentral:rRNA from 1 species
AUUGAACGCUGGCGGCAGGCCUAACACAUGCAAGUCGAACGGUAACAGGAAGCAGCUUGCUGCUUCGCUGACGAGUGGCGGACGGGUGAGUAAUGUCUGGGAAGCUGCCUGAUGGAGGGGGAUAACUACUGGAAACGGUAGCUAAUACCGCAUAAUGUCGCAAGACCAAAGAGGGGGACCUUCGGGCCUCUUGCCAUCGGAUGUGCCCAGAUGGGAUUAGCUUGUUGGUGGGGUAACGGCUCACCAAGGCGACGAUCCCUAGCUGGUCUGAGAGGAUGACCAGCCACACUGGAACUGAGACACGGUCCAGACUCCUACGGGAGGCAGCAGUGGGGAAUAUUGCACAAUGGGCGCAAGCCCGAUGCAGCCAUGCCGCGUGUAUGAAGAAGGCCUUCGGGUUGUAAAGUACUUUCAGCGGGGAGGAAGGGAGUAAAGUUAAUACCUUUGCUCAUUGACGUUACCCGCAGAAGAAGCACCGGCUAACUCCGUG